rnacentral:rRNA from 1 species
ACGGAGGGUGCAAGCGUUGUUCGGAAUUACUGGGCGUAAAGGGCGCGUAGGUGGUUGUGUAAGUCAGAUGUGAAAUCCUUAGGCUUAACCUGAGAACUGCAUCUGAUACUGCAUGACUCGAGUACAGCAGAGGGAAACGGAAUUCCUGGUGUGGAGGUGACAGUCGUAGAUAUCAGGAGGAACACCGGUGGCGUAGGCGGUUACCUGGACUGAUACUGACACUGAGGCGCGUAAGCGUGGGGUGAGAUCAG